UGUUCUUGAGCUGGAAUUGAGAUUUUCUUGAUGUUUUUGGAUCCGAAUGCCUUGAGAGCUUGAUUUUUGAAGUGGGAAUUGGUCUUCCAUUAUCCUCUACUGGUUUUGAACCUGUCCAUCACCUGAAUUGCAAUUUGGAAGGUGAGUUUAGCUCAGAUUUUGGAUAAUUGAGCUUAUAUAUGCCGAUUUUUUAGGUUUUGAUGGAAAAUCUUGAAUCUAGAUUUGGAUGGUGAACCU
rnacentral:lncRNA from 1 species